rnacentral:rRNA from 1 species
UUAAUAAUUUAUAUAAAAUAUUUUGAUGAAUAUUUAUAUAAUAUUAACAUAAUUCAUAUUACUAUAUAUUUUAGUAUAUGGAAUUUUACUUUGAGAAAAUUAGAGUGCUUAAAGCAGGCAUAUGCCUUGAAUACUCCAGCAUGGAAUAAUAUUAAAGAUUUUUAUCUUUCUUAUUGGUUCUAAGAUAAGAAUAAUGAUUAAUAGGGACAGUUGGGGGCAUUUGUAUUUAACAGUCAGAGGUGAAAUUCUUAGAUUUGUUAAAGACAAACUAAUGCGAAAGCAUUUGCCAAGGAUGUCUUCAUUAAUCAAGAACGAAAGUUAGGGGAUCGAAGACGAUCAGAUACCGUCGUAGUCUUAACCAUAAACUAUGCCAACUAG